rnacentral:rRNA from 1 species
GGGCCCGCACAAGCGGUGGAGCAUGUGGUUUAAUUCGACGCAACGCGAAGAACCUUACCAGGGCUUGACAUCCUCAGGAUUCUCUAGAAAUAGAGAAGUGCCCUUCGGGGAACUGAGAGACAGGUGGUGCAUGGUUGUCGUCAGCUCGUGUCGUGAGAUGUUGGGUUAAGUCCCGCAACGAGCGCAACCCCUAUAUUUAGUUGCUAACGGGUAAGGCUGAGCACUCUAGAUAGACUGCCGGUGACAAACCGGAGGAAGGUGGGGAUGACGUCAAAUCAUCAUGCCCCUUAUGUUCUGGGCUACACACGUGCUACAAUGGCCGGUACAGACGGAAGCAAAGCCGCGAGGCGGAGCGAAUCCGAGAAAGCCGGUCUCAGUUCGGAUUGCAGGCUGCAACUCGCCUGCAUGAAGAUGGAAUCGCUAGUAAUCGCAGGUCAGCAUACUGCGGUGAAUACGUUCCCGGGCCUUGUACACACCGCCCGUCACACCACGAAAGUCAGCAACACCCGAAGCCGGUGGGCUAACCCGCAAGGGGGGCAGCCGUCGAAGGUGGGGCGGAUGAUUGGGGUGAAGUCGUAACAAGGUAGCCGUAUCGGAAGGUGCGGCU